UGCCGCUCUUCAUUGGGUCUCUGCCUCGCCCGUCUCUCUAUAAAGCCUGCCUGCCUGCUUGCCUGGAUCCGCGGUCAUUCUGGGCUCUCUUUCCACCCGCUCUCGCCAGUGGACCGGAUCGUGCGGUUUGGCCUUAGCAUCCUUCCCUUAUUUUCCAGUAUCUUCAUCUUGAACAAUGUUGUCUCUGGACCAGAUCCACACUGACCCACCCCAAACACCCAAGGAAUUCGAUUGGGCAGAACAGAGCUUUCUUCCACCAUUGAGUCCACUGCGCAGUGCCCGGCACAGAGAUACACUCCUGGAUAGCAAAAUUAGCCCUGAGGAUGCACAGGCCAGGGCCUGGACAGCCUAUUACUAUGACUUGUUGCAAUGCAGCUUACAGCAACAAGGGCUCCCAGAAACCAUUGAUCUCACCAAGGAGCCCCGAUCAGGUGGGUGUCAUGUUGUAUUGGUCACAUGUA
rnacentral:lncRNA from 1 species